rnacentral:rRNA from 1 species
GCCUACGGGGCGCAGCAGUAGGGAAUCUUCCACAAUGGGCGAAAGCCUGAUGGAGCAACGCCGCGUGGGUGAAGAAGGUCUUCGGAUCGUAAAACCCUGUUGUUAGAGAAGAAAGUGCGUGAGAGUAACUGUUCACGUUUCGACGGUAUCUAACCAGAAGGCCACGGCUAACUACGUGCCAGCAGCCGCAGUAAUACGUAGGUGGCAAGCGUUAUCCGGAUUUAUUGGGCGUAAAGGGAACGCAGGCGGUCUUUUAAGUCUGAUGUGAAAGCCUUCGGCCUAACCGGAGUAGUGCAUUGGAAACU